GAUGAACGCUGGCGGCGUGCCUAAUACAUGCAAGUCGAGCGAACAGACGAGGAGCUUGCUCCUCUGACGUUAGCGGCGGACGGGUGAGUAACACGUGGAUAACCUACCUAUAAGACUGGGAUAACUUCGGGAAACCGGAGCUAAUACCGGAUAAUAUAUUGAACCGCAUGGUUCAAUAGUGAAAGACGGUUUUGCUGUCGCUUAUAGAUGGAUCCGCGCCGCAUUAGCUAGUUGGUAAGGUAACGGCUUACCAAGGCAACGAUGCGUAGCCGACCUGAGGGGGUGAUCGGCCACACUGGAACUGAGACACGGUCCAGACUCCUACGGGAGGCAGCAGUAGGGAAUCUUCCGCAAUGGGCGAAAGCCUGACGGAGCAACGCCGCGUGAGUGAUGAAGGUCUUCGGAUCGUAAAACUCUGUUAUUAGGGAAGAACAAAUGUGUAAGUAACUAUGCACGUCUUGACGGUACCUAAUCAGAAAGCCACGGCUAACUACGUG
rnacentral:rRNA from 1 species